AUACGGAAGGCAGGCGGGAAUUUUGGACAAUGGGCGCAAGCCUGAUCCAGCCAUGCCGCGUGCGGGAAGAAGGCCUUCGGGUUGUAAACCGCUUUUGUCAGGGAAGAAAUCCUUUGAGUUAAUACCUCGGGGGGAUGACGGUACCUGAAGAAUAAGCACCGGCUAACUACGUGCCAGCAGCCGCGGUAAUACGUAGGGUGCAAGCGUUAAUCGGAAUUACUGGGCGUAAAGCGUGCGCAGGCGGUCUUGCAAGACAGGUGUGAAAUCCCCGGGCUCAACCUGGGAACUGCACUUGUGACUGCAAGGCUGGAGUACGGCAGAGGGGGAUGGAAUUCCGCGUGUAGCAGUGAAAUGCGUAGAUAUGCGGAGGAACACCGAUGGCGAAGGCAAUCCCCUGGGCCUGUACUGACGCUCAUGCACGAAAGCGUGGGGAGCAAACAGGAUUAGAUACCCUAGUAGUCC
rnacentral:rRNA from 1 species